rnacentral:rRNA from 1 species
CCUACGGGUGGCAGCAGUGAGGAAUAUUGGUCAAUGGCCGAGAGGCUGAACCAGCCAAGUCGCGUGAGGGAAGAAUGUCCUAUGGAUUGUAAACCUCUUUUGUCAGGGAGCAAAGUCACCCACGUGUGGGUGUUGGAGAGUACCUGAAGAAAAAGCAUCGGCUAACUCCGUGCCAGCAGCCGCGGUAAUACGGAGGAUUCAAGCGUUAUCCGGAUUUAUUGGGUUUAAAGGGUGCGUAGGCGGUUCGAUAAGUUAGAGGUGAAAUCCCGGGGCUCAACUCCGGCACUGCCUCUGAUACUGUCGGGCUAGAGUUUAGUUGCGGUAGGCGGAAUGUAUGGUGUAGCGGUGAAAUGCAUAGAGAUCAUACAGAACACCGAUUGCGAAGGCAGCUUACCAAACUACGACUGACGUUGAGGCACGAAAGCGUGGGGAGCAAACAGGAUUAGAUACCCCAGUAGUC